rnacentral:tRNA from 1 species
UCCCUGGUGGUCCAGUGGCUGACUCUGUGCUGUCAAGGCUUGGGGCCCAGGUUCAAUCCCUGGUCAGGGAA